GUUAUUUUUCACAGUUCUGAGGUGGGGUAUCCCGUGGUCAAGAAGUGGGUUCCGUCUCAGGGGAGGGUCACUUCCUGGUUUUCAGAGGGCCGCCUUCUUGCUAUGUCCUCUGUGCUAGUCAGCUCUUCACAGCUGUGACCAAAUCUUUGAGAGAAACAGCUUAAAGGAAGAAAGGUUUGUUUUGGCUCCCAGCUCAGAGGUUUCAGUCCAGGACCAGCCAGCUCCAUUGCUUUCAGGCCUGUGGUGAGGCAGAAACAUCAUGGCGGAAGGAAAUGUUGGAAAGCCGAGAAGAAGACAGAGAAGGAGCCAGAGACAGAGAGAAGAAGGGGCCCGGACAAGAUACACCCUUCAAAGUGUGUCAUUAUUCACAAAAGAGAACCCAGAGAGCUCCCUGCAAAGCUGACAUGAGGUGAGCAACCAUUUCUCUGGUGAAGCCUGCUGACCAUGCAUGGACUGAGACCUCUAAGCCUGAGCCAACAUAAACCUCUCCUUUAAAUUGUGGGUAUUGUGUCUCAGUGAUGAGGAAAGUGACUAAAUGGGGCUUAUGGUUUAAACAUAUGGAUUUAGAAAAUCCAAACAUUCAUUCCGUAUCAGUCCACUCUUGCUCCCAUUUAAGUCCUUUUUGCAUGGAAAGUGCAUAUUCAUUUCACCCUAUGCCUCUCCACAGUCAUAACUCAUUCCGGCAUCAGCUCUAAGCACUGAAGAUCAUCUAAAUCAGAUAUGAAUGACACAUAAGGCAGGAUUUGUCUGAAGACAGAACUCCUCUCUCUCCAUUUGUGAAACUAUGGAACCAAACAAGUUAUGUGCUUUCCAAAUCCGGUGGUGGGACAGACAGACAGAAGGGAAGAUAGGAAGGAGAAAAGAGGGUCCAGUGCUAUCAGGCAAGUCUCACAAGACCUUAGGGCUGGAGAAUGACCCUCACUUUACCUCCAGACCCCAGGGCCUUUGGUCCUGGCCCCAGAGCUCUGCCAAGCAGGAGAACAGCCCAUGGCUUGGGGCAAAGUUUGCCUGCCUAUUGAAAGUGAGUCGUUGGCCUCCCUGCAAGGAGGCUGCCCUGAUGACCUCUGAGUCUCCUUCAAGGUCAGUUUCUGCUUGUGUG
rnacentral:lncRNA from 1 species